AAGUGGAUUGUUCUUUCCUCCUGGAAAUUUUAAAAAACUAAGCAGAAGAGAGGAUCUGCAGUGCAUGCAUUAAACAAACGUUGAAAAGAAAUCAGCUGUCAGUUCCGAUGUGCAGCUAAGAAAAGUUUUCCCCCUUUAUAAAAAAAAGGAUAAAAUAGCAUUUCAAAACAUUUGAUGUGGAUAUUAAGAAGAAAAGAGUAGAAAGCCGUCACAGUGCCCACCACUUUAUUAAGAGCUCAUUACCUUUUACAAUAAUCCCCGACACUAGAUCUCAUUGUCCCUGUUUACUGACGAGGCGACAGAGGCUUGGACUUGUUAAGAAACUCCGUCAAGGUCAGUGAGUUAGUAAGUAGUCGAGCAGCGUUUGGACUUGGGUCUCGCUGACUUCGAAGCCUGUUCUCCAGCCAGUAUUUAUUGCUGUCAGUGGAGCUAACGAGAAUCUUCUAAAGGCACAUUGCUCAGUAAAGCUGUAUAAUGAAAAAUGAUAAGGACUGAAAAACUGCCCAGCUGUUGUCGUCCUUUCAAGAGAUAAAUUAAAAGGGUGGCAAAGACCAGGAGAACAUCCUGACAAUGGGAAGGGGAAAUGUCUCUGGUGGUUUCCACGUUCAUUAUAAUUUUGUGUUGGGCAAUUACGUGUUUAACAUUCGACAGUUCUCGUGUGUGGCUGCUCCUGGGGCACGGCCACAGACGGGAGAAGGGACGUGAUUUCCCUGUACCCAUUUUUAUUGAGCCACAUGCAUAUAUUCCAAAAGGGCACUUAAAUUGUUUGAAAGAGGUCUAGAUGCUGGCAAACACCACCAUAAACAACGCGGGCAGCUUAAAGUCCCAGCCGCCAACGACAUGAUUCACAAUGGAACCCAUCUUCUCUAAAUGGGGCGCGGAGCUAAAUGCUAUUUAUUACAACGAACUUACAACCAAGCGAGAUUCACUGCCUGGACUCAGUGAGGGGACUUCACAGCUGCCGAAAUGCGGGUUGUUGGCAUUUAGGAAGAACGACUUGCCCUCCAAGUAAGGAAAAUGAACCGCAGAAUAUGUUUUUUUUUUACCACUGUGAUUAUGUGUCUAAGCCCAUGGCCACACUGUCUGUGACGUAUCUACACUGGACGAGGGGAUGGGUGGAUUGGAAACCAUGUUUAAAUAAUUCAGGCAAACCCUCCUGUUUCUAAGAAGAAGAGUCUCCCUUCACUUAAUGAUCCUCUCAUUUCAUGCUUAUCCUUUGCCUGAAGCUUGACUGCAAUUAUUUUAUUUAAUUCUUAUCAUAAUCCCCAGAGGUGGCUUUUCUGAGCCCCUCUUUUUCAGAGGUCAGAAAACUGAGGGACAGAGAUUUAAGUAAACGGGACCAAGAUCACAUGCCUGGGAAAUGGCAGAACUGGGAUUUGAACCAGGUUUCUCUGUCACCAAGGGGCCCCUCUGCUUCGUCAUAAUAGCUGUUACCCUUUACUAAUUUGAUUGCGACCAACAGUUAUCAACCCUCACAAACGAUAGGGAAAAUCUGAGUUAUUAUUUCCUCGUUACAAGUGAAGACGCAGAGGGUCAGGAGGUUAGACUGUCCCCCCCACCCCCCGCCCACUCAGCUAUGUCCUAGUGACGUUGGAAUGAAAUCAGAAUUUGCCUGGGGCUCAAACCUAGUCUCUCGUCUGACUUUACCAGUGUUUCCCAAAGCACACUGUGCAGAGCCCGGGUCCCUCGAGAUGCUCUAAAGAAAAAAAGAUGUUCAGGCUCCUUGCCUCCUCACAGCCUUUGCACCUGCUGUCCCGGUGGCUGGGGCCCCUCCCCUGACCCUGCCUGGAUGAUUCCUGCCGCACAUUCGCCCACUGGCUUCAGGAUCGCAUCCUCAGAAGGGCCUUUCCUUAUCCCAGAAUCUAGACCAGGUCCCUGGAUUUCUUCACUCUUACCCUCCAGUUGUCAUGAAUAAUUCAUUGGUUUGUUUGGAUACUGGCUUAAUGCUUGCCUCUCCCGCUGGCCCUCAGGGUCCAGGAGGGCAGGGGUGGCCUUGUUCGAGAGACUCCACAGCGCCCGCCCUGUUCCAGGCCCAGGGUGUCGCUCAGUAAAGAAACACGUGCUUUUCUUCAUACUCUGUCAACGGCUCUGCCUUUGUAGAAUCAUAGACAGUGAAUGACCUCGGGGACCUCAGGCUUCCGCCAUUUUGCAGAUGGUGACAUGGAGGCCCCGCCUUCGCACCCACUGGGUGAUGGUGAGAAAAGUAACAAGAAACAGCUGCUGUUUAUCAACCCAGUAUGUUCUUGACCUGGAGCACAAGUGUUUAACCGAUGACAUCUGAUUUAAGCCUCAAGACAGACCAGGAAGUCGAGGCCCAGAGAUGUUAAGCAGCUUGCCCAAGUUCACAGCUAACGAGUGGCACAGAGUUAUCUGAUUGCGCCCCAUGCACGGAGACAGCUCUCCACACUGGUCCCCUUCCGCGUGGGAGUUGCCUGGGGGGCCUGACAACACUGAUGCCUGGCCCCACUGAUGCACAGAAUCUCCCAGAUUCUGCCUUAGUUGGUCUGGGGUAAGGCCUGGGCAUUGGGGAUUUUAAAAGCUCCCCAGGGGGAUCCUAAUGUGCUGCCAAGACUGAGAAAAAUCUAACAUCUGAUUGAUUGAUCACUGCUGUUGGAUCAGUUAACCCUUCUUGCAGAGCCCGGAUGGAAUACAUGCCUUGUACAAUCCUGCUACAACGUUCCCUGCUUCCUCCCCUCUCUCUCCUCCUCCUCCCUGUCUCUUUCCCGUCCCAACUCCAAAACCUGCAUUUCUAUUUAGAUUAAGCCCCUCCACGACACGCACGAAUAUGAAACAAACAAACAGUGCAAAGCACCAGUGUUUAUAAAGUUGGUGACCUUUAUGACAAGUCCCAGCCCAAAUGGUGUAGUUACAAGACUGGGCAGCCAAAUGUCCGUGCAAAGGAGGAAUUCUCAGGAGACCUUCAAGUUCUUGGGGUUUAACUGUUUGCUCUUCAGUAACAACAAUUGCUCUUAUCGGAUAGAGGAUUCACCUGGUGCCAGGCGCUGUGUGAGGCCGGUGGGGGACAGAGAGGCCUCCACAACAAAACUGGAGCGGGUAUUAUCAGCAGUACCUUUUUACCAGGGGUCCACUGACUCAUGGGAGCGUGAAGUGACGGUCAUCAUGACUGUAAGAAGAUGCAGCCAGGAUUUGAGCCCCCGCCCCUCCCUUCCCCUCCCUUCCCUUCCCUUCCCACCAGGCGGCUCUACCAGGAGACCCUUCAAUCUCUGCCCCGUGGUCCUGCUCCUGCUGGACUGAAAGACACUGAACCAGCCUUGCUUUCUUGAGAGAAUUCAAGACUUCCCUCCGCCCCCAAAUCAGCUGUUGAGAAGCAACGGGCUCCGUAUAAGACUGUAUUUGAAAAAUUACUCAGCUGCUUCCAAAAAUUACUAUAAGUUUAUAUGAUGGUGAUGAGGAUGACAAAGACUGACGCCCCCUGGACCAGGUGGGGCAGCCAGACUUUGGCUGUGCAUUUUUGGGCUCUUGCCAGUGAACGCUUAACAGGUUCUUUCAACAAACACUGGGGAAGCAUUUGCUUUGUGCCAGACACCAGAGGCUGUUUCAAUACAAGGGACCCAGCGGGGAGCACGACAGACAGGCCCGUGUCUGCAGAGAUUGCACUGUAUCCGGAGGGAAGACAGCGAGCAGAGCCCAUCGAUGAAACUUUACUGGCACACGGACCCACAUGGCCCACGUCUUACUCGUGGCUGCCCUUGUGCUGCACUGGCGGAGCCGAGUGGUUGUGACAGACACCGUGUCGUCUGCAGAGUCUGGACUGUUUGCUAUCUGGUCCUUCACCGCAGGAGAUUCUCACCCUCUAUUCUCUCUGGAAAUAGCCCUUUUGAAUACCUGUGGGGAUACCGAUGGGAGGCACUUCUCUCCGUUUCACGGUGGGUUCGUCUUCCUCAGUCUCCAGCCAGAGACAUCCAUGACCUGCUGGCCUCUUGGACCAAACCCCCCGGGAAGGUCUCCCUUCCUCUUUGCUAACUGAUGCCUGAUGUCUGCUUCUUCGUUGACUCUGUGUGUGUUGAGAGAUUUUCCUGGGCCCGGCACGGGGCUAGGUGCCUGAAUGUACAACCUGGAAUAAGAUAGUUUGGUCCUUGCCUCCUUGCAGCUUAAGUUCUAUUAAACAAGUUUCCAACAGACAGUCCUUCUUCUGCUCUUAGCUGCCUCUGAACCAUAGCGCACAGUUCAUUUAUAGCUUCAGAGUCAAGCCAGUCAGAUAUAGGCCAUAUUCACAUCGAUGUGCUUUUACUUAGGAGAUAUUUCAGUAAAUAAAGAUGAGAAAAUAAGACGACGUGAGGCAGGCUUGAGAACAAAGUGGGAGGGGAGGCUGCACAUGCACGCGGUCACUUCCACACCACAAGGAAACCAGGGAAGGAAGCCUUCACCCAGUACCUCUGCACACAAUUCAGGGCAUCCAUGAACUUGCACGGGAAAGACAAUUACACCAUUAAUUUCACUAACCUUUAACUGAAAUUCAGCAUUUCCUUCAUUUACGGAUAGAGACAUCAAUUCUCAGUAGUAGCAGUAUUCUGAUUGUUUUAUCACCAAUAUUUUCACCAAAACAUCACAGAUAGUUUUGUCACAUUACAGCUCUUACAAAUGUCUUGCAAAAUCAUGCACACUCAUCAUAACUUUGAAAUUACAGUGGUUAUCGGCCUUAGCACUGGUCAUGCUGGUUAAUGUAUAUAAAUAAAUUCACUUAUUAAUAUAUCACAAAUUUGUUUCUUUAAUAUUUGAU